AAUAACCGUAUAUCUGGACAAUGAAACUGAAAAGUUUAUAGUAUAAGAAAUUGCUCGGUUUUACUUCUAGGUAAAAGGUUCGUACAGGUUAACUAACAGGGCUAACGUACGCAAUGCAACGCUCUAUUUUAAGACGACAUUAUCGUCGCGUCUCGUCUACCGAACCGGUUUACUUUUACCUCGAUCAGUUUGUUCGAUAAAUCAAUCUCACCUCGGCCAAGGGAACGUCGUCUGCCAGGGCCGAGUUCGGGCUACCUGUCGGCGGAUGUUUCAAUUUGUAAUCGGAAAUAUCUACAUUUAUUAUGCGAUUCCAGGGUGUGCAUUACAUCCGGUUGUCGCAGAUAGCAGGCGGUGGUGACCAAUGCCGAGAUAUUAAUCAUCGCCGAUUUAAUUCAGCACUAUCAAACCAGUUUUCCAUGAAAUCGGCAUGCGAACGCGAUUAACUUCCCGUCAAUUUCGUUUCGUCUUCGUACAUCUUGUUUUCCUUGCUUUUCUGAUUUUUUCUCUUACUCAUAGUUCAUACGCUUUUUGAAUGUCCUUAGGGUCUCCUAAAACUAAAAUUAUACGAGAGAAAUCUAUAAUCUAUAAUUUGUCACUUGUCAAUUUGCUGAUAUCAUUAAUUAGUAAAUUAUCGUGCAAGACGGCCAAGAUCACACGGCUGUGUGAAGUUGACAUUCGUUUUUGACGAAUCUGAAGACAUUUAUUAUUAAAUAUGACGAUAAUUAUCCGUAAUUGUAAUGAUGUUGUAUAGAUGAUACAUUGUAAUAGUGCUUUUAGUUUGAAUUCGACGAUCAUGGCAAAAGUAUUAUAGUUUAGAAACCCUAAAAUAUGGAUUUCAGAAGUGAAAUUAACUCAAAUGAAGAUGAACUUGAUUUUGAACUGUUAAAAAAUGAGAUCAAUUAUAUUCAAGAAUGCAUCUUGGUGAAUGCUUUAUAAAUUAUCAUA